AGGUACAGAUAUACCUUAUCCUUUAAUAGUGUCUUCAGAACAUUACUUUUGAGUCCUGUAUCCAAUUGUGAAAUAUCUGUUCCCUGACUGUUAGUGAGACAUGAGUCCUACAUCUUCCAGUAACAAAAAGUUUUAUCUUUAGCUAAAUGUCUUGAGACCAGCUCUUAUUUGGAUUUACACUUGGUUAUAUCAGGAUGCAAAGGAUUCUUGGUUAUUCCUGUUUCAGCCAUGAAUCGUAUUUUCAUAUCAUGUUUGCUAGCAGGUGUUUUUUUGAUUUGUUUUAAUAUGACUAAAGUUGAGAUUAUUUGCCAAGGUCUGCAACCUUAGUACCGGAUACCGUAUCGGUUUGGUACGGUAUGGUAGGGUAUGCAUUCUGUAUCGAAAUAGCUUUCUAACCAUUUUUGUCAAUUUUUUAUUUCGGUACGCCUCAUAUAGGUUGGUAUGCCUUGGUACAUGUUAGUAUGCUUCGGUAUGGGUCGAUACGUACCUCGAUAUACCUUGGUACGGAACUUGUACUGGCUCAAAGUUAAGUUUUGUACUGGUUUCCUUCUAGUACGAUACGGAAUGCUCCGCACUGGGUGGUAUGAC
rnacentral:lncRNA from 1 species